AUGUACUUCUCUCUGCAGCUAUUCUCGGUGUUGUUUUCUAAAUUUGAAAGGUGCAUUUUUUUCUUUGGCAAACAGAGCAAGCAGGAGGAGGAAUCAGAGAGGGAGAUGGGGGAGGGAGAGGAAAUCUCGGCCUGCACGAUUGCGUCUCCCACAAGCUACUGCAAAGGGAGAAUCGUAUACCCAACAUGCUUCUCAAAGCCUGCAGCUACUGCCUCCCCAAGCAAUGCCAACCUGCAGCAACAAGAAAUAGAUGAUUUGAUGGUCUCCAAGGAAAGAUUUCCUAAUGCAGUCCUGAGGGCCAUCAUCGACGACACCUUGACCCACUACGAUGAGCUCUUCCGCUUCAAGAGUGUCGCUGCUAGGGCGGAUGCCUUCCAUCUCAUCACUAGCAUGUGGUGCCCCCAUCCGAGCGCUGCUCCCUUUGGAUGGGCGGCUUCCAGCCCUCUGAUCUUCUCAAGACAUAUACUGGCACCUCAGCUUGAUCCCUUGACUGAACAGCAAAUGGUUGGCAUCUGCAGCCUUGAGCAGUCAUUGCAGCAGGCAGAAGCUCUCACCAAGGGCCUGGAGCAGCUCCAUUAG
rnacentral:rRNA from 1 species